CUUCAUUCUCCCACCUCCUCUUUGGUGUCUGACAAAAGAAACUGACCUGAUUCCAUUUCUAAUGGUCAGCGUAUGUAUCUGCAAUGGGAAAUCUGAGAUUGCCCUGGGAAUCAGUUUUGAUGCAUCUAGCCAAAGACUUCGCUCCAGUCCGCUUUUUGAGCAGGAGCAGGAGCCCUCCCUGAUUGGCUGAUUCCCGUUUGACAGCUCAGUAUAAAAGGAGCUGUCAAAUGGAAUCAGCUGUUUUCUGUCAGCCAGCUGCCUGGAUAGCUUGCAGAAAGUCACGGCUGUUUUUUUUACUUUAUUGCAGUAAAGCCUGUUAUCCUUCACUUUUGCCUCUGCCAACUGUAAAAAGUUUGAUUACACCUUUUGAAUGUUCCUGAAUGACGAAAGCAGCAACACACAAUGUGUUCGUGACAUAAAACUUACUUCGCAUAGCUUAUGCUCAUAUUGACCCACUGUUUUCCAAGCGAAUUUUAGGGGUGGACUCUUGCACUGCUUGGGGUUAGAAAAAACAUUCUCUCUGGCUUCUCCAUAUUUCCAAUAUUCUUGAUUCUGUAGAUGAAGUUCUUGAUAUUUCAGGCCAAAUUACAGUUGAAUCUCGUCUAAGAAAUUUGUAGAACCACAGGAGGAAAUUCGGAAACAUAGAUUUGUUGGGUGGUGACUGAAUACUGUCCUGAGAAACUUCCUUAGUUUUCUUCUGAGUGAAGCCAUUUGACGCCACCCACCCUGGAACAGAACCUGGAUCUUCUUUGCAUCUGCUUUCCGUCCUGGUCUGGAAAUUUUUCCUUUUCCUCUGGAUCUCUGGAUUUUCUCACAGCCCUAAGAAAUCUGUUAUCCUUUGACGAAGGAUUUUCUGGGGGCCCCAAUUGACCUUCUCUUUCAUGUUAGACAAAAACAAUUUUCUGCUUAAGAUUCUAACAAUCAGCAUAUUCUUGAUCUAUUGUUGAAAACUAAUCAGAACCAAGGGAUUGAGCUACUGUAGGGCACAAUAAAAGCCAGGUUUGAUCUGUGAAGAUCUUCUUUAUGAACACCUAUCAAGGAAAAAGGGAUUUUAUGGGUGGCAAGACUAUUCUGUCCAGGACUCUCACAGUUUUGAGGAAUUUCUGGAAUUAAAGUCAUCAGUAAGAAGAUCUUUUCUUUGCAGGAAUUGUUGACUUAUGACUCAAGGCAUCCCUUGGAAUCUUCUAUCCUGCUGUUCCUGUUCGUAGUUUUGUACCAGAAACCCUAUUGCCAUGUUCGACCAACCCUCUAGCUGUCUCCCUUGUUUAUUCUGACUUUUGUAUCUUGUGAAUCCUUUAGUCCAUCCACAGGAUAGUUUUCGAGACAACCACUCAUGCUCCGAUCUGCUCAAAGGAGGCCAUGUUUCUUGAAGGAAGGCAGAAGGAGGAAGUUAGAAGAUUCAGAGAAGUUGUCCACUUGGUUAACUGAAGUACAAAUAAAAAAUAGGAAGGCACUGAACUUUGCAGAGAGAUAUUUUGUUUAAUUUUGUGUUAUCUAAGGAUUGUAUAAUCUUGUAUAAAUACAGGAAGAGAUGCCAAUUGUCCAGGUGCCCAGGUUUUGUAUGCAGAAAAGAAGCGUUUGUCUUGAAGACAGGGAAUGGUUGGUUCUUCACCUGAUCUGAUCUGGCUUCCGUUUUGG